rnacentral:rRNA from 1 species
GCUUACGGCCACACCGCCUGGUUCACGCCCGAUCUCGUUUGAUCUCGGAAGCUAAGAUAGGUUGGGCCUGGUUAGUACUUGGAUGGGAGACCGCCUGGGAAUAUCAGGUGCUGUAAGAA